rnacentral:rRNA from 1 species
UGGGGAAUCUUGGACAAUGGGGGAAACCCUGAUCCAGCCAUCCCGCGUGUGCGAUGAAGGCCUUCGGGUUGUAAAGCACUUUUGGCAGGAAAGAAACGUCAUGGGUUAAUACCCCGUGAAACUGACGGUAUCUGCAGAAUAAGCACCGGCUAACUACGUGCCAGCAGCCGCGGUAAUACGUAGGGUGCAAGCGUUAAUCGGAAUUACUGGGCGUAAAGCGUGCGCAGGCGGUUCAGAAAGAAAGAUGUGAAAUCCCAGAGCUCAACUUUGGAACUGCAUUUUUAACUACCGGGCUAGAGUGUGUCAGAGGGAGGUGGAAUUCCGGGUGUAGCAGUGAAAUGCGUAGAUAUGCGGAGGAACACCGAUGGCGAAGGCAGCCUCCUGGGAUAACACUGACGCUCAUGCACGAAAGCGUGGGGAGCAAACAGG